rnacentral:rRNA from 1 species
GAUGAACGCUGGCGGCGUGCCUAACACAUGCAAGUCGAGCGAAGCGAUCGAGAUGAAGUUUUCGGAUGGAUUCCUGAUUGACUGAGCGGCGGACGGGUGAGUAACGCGUGGGUAACCUGCCUCAUACAGGGGGAUAACAGUUAGAAAUGACUGCUAAUACCGCAUAAGCGCACAGUACCACAUGGUACAGUGUGAAAAACUCCGGUGGUAUGAGAUGGACCCGCGUCUGAUUAGCCAGUUGGCAGGGUAACGGCCUACCAAAGCAACGAUCAGUAGCCGGCUUGAGAGAGUGAACGGCCACAUUGGGACUGAGACACGGCCCAAACUCCUACGGGAGGCAGCAGUGGGGAAUAUUGCACAAUGGGGGGAACCCUGAUGCAGCGACGCCGCGUGGAGGAAGAAGGUCUUCGGGAUUGUAAACUCCUGUUGUUAGGGACGAUAAUGACGGUACCUAACAAGGAAGC